rnacentral:rRNA from 1 species
UUAAGCGACUAAGCGUACACGGUGGAUGCCCUGGCAGUCAGAGGCGAUGAAGGACGUGCUAAUCUGCGAAAAGCGUCGGUAAGGUGAUAUGAACCGUUAUAACCGGCGAUGUCCGAAUGGGGAAACCCAGUGCAAUUCGUUGCACUAUCGUUAACUGAAUACAUAGGUUAACGAGGCGAACCGGGGGAACUGAAACAUCUAAGUACCCCGAGGAAAAGAAAUCAACCGAGAUUCCCCCAGUAGCGGCGAGCGAACGGGGAGCAGCCCAGAGUCUGAAUCAGCUUGUGUGUUAGUGGAACGGUCUGGAAAGUCCGACGGUACAGGGUGAUAGUCCCGUACACCAAAAUGCACAGGUUGUGAACUCGAAGAGUAGGGCGGGACACGUGGUAUCCUGUCUGAAUAUGGGGGGACCAUCCUCCAAGGCUAAAUACUCCUGACUGACCGAUAGUGAACCAGUACCGUGAGGGAAAGGCGAAAAGAACCCCGGCGAGGGGAGUGAAAAAGAACCUGAAACCGUGUACGUACAAGCAGUGGGAGCACCUUCGGGUGUGACUGCGUACCUUUUGUAUAAUGGGUCAGCGACUUAUAUUCUGUAGCAAGGUUAACCGUAUAGGGGAGCCGCAGGGAAACCGAGUCUUAACUGGGCGUUAAGUUGCAGGGUAUAGACCCGAAACCCGGUGAUCUAGCCAUGGGCAGGUUGAAGGUUGGGUAACACUAACUGGAGGACCGAACCGACUAAUGUUGAAAAAUUAGCGGAUGACUUGUGGCUGGGGGUGAAAGGCCAAUCAAACCGGGAGAUAGCUGGUUCUCCCCGAAAGCUAUUUAGGUAGCGCCUCGUGAACUCAUCUUCGGGGGUAGAGCACUGUUUCGGCUAGGGGGGCAUCCCGACUUACCAACCCGAUGCAAACUACGAAUACCGAAGAAUGUUAUCACGGGAGACACACGGCGGGUGCUAACGUCCGUCGUGAAGAGGGAAACAACCCAGACCGCCAGCUAAGGUCCCAAAGUCAUGGUUAAGUGGGAAACGAUGUGGGAAGGCACAGACAGCCAGGAUGUUGGCUUAGAAGCAGCCAUCAUUUAAAGAAAGCGUAAUAGCUCACUGGUCGAGUCGGCCUGCGCGGAAGAUGUAACGGGGCUAAACCAUGCACCGAAGCUGCGGCAGCGACACUAUGUGUUGUUGGGUAGGGGAGCGUUCUGUAAGCCUGCGAAGGUGACCUGUGAGGGUUGCUGGAGGUAUCAGAAGUGCGAAUGCUGACAUAAGUAACGAUAAAGCGGGUGAAAAGCCCGCUCGCCGGAAGACCAAGGGUUCCUGUCCAACGUUAAUCGGGGCAGGGUGAGUCGACCCCUAAGGCGAGGCCGAAAGGCGUAGUCGAUGGGAAACAGGUUAAUAUUCCUGUACUUGGUGUUACUGCGAAGGGGGGACGGAGAAGGCUAUGUUAGCCGGGCGACGGUUGUCCCGGUUUAAGCAUGUAGGCUGGUUGUCCAGGCAAAUCCGGAUAAUCAAGGCUGAGGUGUGAUGACGAGGCACUACGGUGCUGAAGUAACAAAUGCCCUGCUUCCAGGAAAAGCCUCUAAGCAUCAGGUAACAUCAAAUCGUACCCCAAACCGACACAGGUGGUCAGGUAGAGAAUACCAAGGCGCUUGAGAGAACUCGGGUGAAGGAACUAGGCAAAAUGGUGCCGUAACUUCGGGAGAAGGCACGCUGGUGUGUAGGUGAAGUCCCUGCGGAUGGAGCUGAGACCAGUCGAAGAUACCAGCUGGCUGCAACUGUUUAUUAAAAACACAGCACUGUGCAAACACGAAAGUGGACGUAUACGGUGUGACGCCUGCCCGGUGCCGGAAGGUUAAUUGAUGGGGUUAUCCGUAAGGAGAAGCUCUUGAUCGAAGCCCCGGUAAACGGCGGCCGUAACUAUAACGGUCCUAAGGUAGCGAAAUUCCUUGUCGGGUAAGUUCCGACCUGCACGAAUGGCGUAAUGAUGGCCAGGCUGUCUCCACCCGAGACUCAGUGAAAUUGAACUCGCUGUGAAGAUGCAGUGUACCCGCGGCAAGACGGAAAGACCCCGUGAACCUUUACUAUAGCUUGACACUGAACAUUGAGCCUUGAUGUGUAGGAUAGGUGGGAGGCUUUGAAGCGUGGACGCCAGUCUGCGUGGAGCCAACCUUGAAAUACCACCCUUUAAUGUUUGAUGUUCUAACGUUGGCCCCUUAUCGGGGUUGCGGACAGUGUCUGGUGGGUAGUUUGACUGGGGCGGUCUCCUCCCAAAGCGUAACGGAGGAGCACGAAGGUUAGCUAAUCCUGGUCGGACAUCAGGAGGUUAGUGCAAUGGCAUAAGCUAGCUUGACUGCGAGCGUGACGGCGCGAGCAGGUGCGAAAGCAGGUCAUAGUGAUCCGGUGGUUCUGAAUGGAAGGGCCAUCGCUCAACGGAUAAAAGGUACUCCGGGGAUAACAGGCUGAUACCGCCCAAGAGUUCAUAUCGACGGCGGUGUUUGGCACCUCGAUGUCGGCUCAUCACAUCCUGGGGCUGAAGUAGGUCCCAAGGGUAUGGCUGUUCGCCAUUUAAAGUGGUACGCGAGCUGGGUUUAGAACGUCGUGAGACAGUUCGGUCCCUAUCUGCCGUGGGCGCUGGAGAAUUGAGGGGGGCUGCUCCUAGUACGAGAGGACCGGAGUGGACGCAUCACUGGUGUUCGGGUUGUCAUGCCAAUGGCACUGCCCGGUAGCUAAAUGCGGAAGAGAUAAGUGCUGAAAGCAUCUAAGCACGAAACUUGCCCCGAGAUGAGUUCUCCCUGAGACUUUAAGUCUCCUGAAGGAACGUUGAAGACGACGACGUUGAUAGGCCGGGUGUGUAAGCGCAGCGAUGCGUUGAGCUAACCGGUACUAAUGAACCGUGAGGCUUAACCUU